ensembl:misc_RNA 7SK 7SK RNA
GGAAUAGGUUUGGAAAACAUGGUUGGUACAUCUGUCACCCCGUUGAUUGCCAGGGUUGAUUUGGCUGAUCUGGCUGGCUAGGUGGGUAUUGCCUUCCUCCCUCACCACUCCAUGUGCAUCCCUCCUGAAACUGCAUGCUGCCUCGAAGAGGAAGACUUUCCCAGAAAAGAGGAGGAUAGGUCUUAGGUCAAGGGUAUAUGAGUAGUUGCACUCCCCUGUUAUAAUGUCCAAAUAAGCUCUCAAGGCCCAUCAUUUGUAUUUCUAGCCCUAAUUAUGAUUGAAAGUUGUUCUGUGUGUCUGUCUCACUACGAGAGUAAACUGCUAACAGUGAACAACCCU